rfam:Oryza rufipogon genomic scaffold, chr01
AAAAAGACAAACCCUGAGUUUUUUUUUCAACUUUAACUGUUCGUCUUAUAUAAUUUUUUUUAUAAUUCCUAUUUUUAUUGUUGUUAAAUGAUAAAACAUGAUUAAUAUUUUAUACGUGACUUGUCUUUUUAAUUUUUUCAUAAUUUUUUUAAAUAAGACGGACGGUUAAAUGUUGGACAUGUAAAGCAGGGUUUGUCUUUUU